CGACUAAGAUAUACAGCAAGUGAUCGGGAAAAACAUCCCAGUUCGUUAUAAACAUGUUUGUUAUAAAGCACAGUUUACUGUUUAUAACAGUGCACCAAUGAUAUAUUAUGCUGUCACAUAUAAAGUGUGUCACCUUUACAUAAAACACUGUACAAUUUCUA